AUUGAACGCUGGCGGAAUGCUUUACACAUGCAAGUCGAACGGCAGCACGGACUUAGGUCUGGUGGCGAGUGGCGAACGGGUGAGUAAUGUAUCGGAACGUGCCCAGUCGUGGGGGAUAACGUAGUGAAAAUUACGCGAAUAACGCAUACGAUCUAUGGAUGAAAGCGGGGGAUCGCAAGACCUCGCGCGAUUGGAGCGGCCGAUAUCAGAUUAGGUAGUUGGGGGGGUAAAGGCCCACCAAGCUAACGAUCUGUAGCUGGUCUGAGAGGACGAUCAGCCACACUGGAACUGAGACACGGUCCAGACUCCUACGGGAGGCAGCAGUGGGGAAUUUUGGACAAUGGGCGAAAGCCUGAUCCAGCCAUUCCGCGUGCAGUAUGAAGGCCCUCGGGUUGUAAACUGCUUUUGUACAGAACGAAAAGGUUUCUACUAAUACUAGGAGCUCAUGACGGUACUGUAAGAAUAAGCACCGGCUAACUACGUGCCAGCCGCCGCCGUAA
rnacentral:rRNA from 1 species